UACAGAGGUGGCAAGCGUUGUUCGGAAUUACUGGGCGUAAAGGGCGCGUAGGCGGUUCGUUAAGUCCUGUGUGAAAUCCCUCAGCUUAACUGGGGAACUGCGUCCGAUACUGGAUGGCUUGGAUUUGGGAGAGGGAUGCGGAAUUCCAGGUGUAGCGGUGAAAUGCGUAGAUAUCUGGAGGAAUACCGGUGGCGAAGGCGGCAUCCUGGACCGGCAUUGACGCUGAGGAGCGAAAGCCAGGGGAGCAAACGGG
rnacentral:rRNA from 1 species